rnacentral:rRNA from 1 species
AAUGAACGCUGGCGGCGUGCUUAACACAUGCAAGUCGAACGAUGAAGCCCAGCUUGCUGGGUGGAUUAGUGGCGAACGGGUGAGUAGCACGUGAGUAACCUGCCCUUAACUCUGGGAUAAGCCUGGGAAACUGGGUCUAAUACCGGAUAGGAGCGUCCACCGCAUGGUGGGUGUUGGAAAGAUUUAUCGGUUUUGGAUGGACUCGCGGCCUAUCAGCUUGUUGGUGAGGUAAUGGCUCACCAAGGCGACGACGGGUAGCCGGCCUGAGAGGGUGACCGGCCACACUGGGACUGAGACACGGCCCAGACUCCUACGGGAGGCAGCAGUGGGGAAUAUUGCACAAUGGGCGCAAGCCUGAUGCAGCGACGCCGCGUGAGGGAUGACGGCCUUCGGGUUGUAAACCUCUUUCAGUAGGGAAGAAGCGAAAGUGACGGUACCUGCAGAAGAAGCACCGGCUAACUACGUG